rnacentral:rRNA from 1 species
GAUGAACGCUGACAGAAUGCUUAACACAUGCAAGUCAACUUGAAUUUGGGUUUUUAACUUAGGUUUGGGUGGCGGACGGGUGAGUAACGCGUAAAGAACUUGCCUCACAGCUAGGGACAACAUUUGGAAACGAAUGCUAAUACCUGAUAUUAUGAUUAUAUGGCAUCGUAUAAUUAUGAAAGCUAAAAGCGCUGUGAGAGAGCUUUGCGUCCCAUUAGCUAGUUGGAGAGGUAACGGCUCACCAAGGCGAUGAUGGGUAGCCGGCCUGAGAGGGUGAUCGGCCACAAGGGGACUGAGACACGGCCCUUACUCCUACGGGAGGCAGCAGUGGGGAAUAUUGGACAAUGGACCGAGAGUCUGAUCCAGCAAUUCUGUGUGCACGAUGAAGUUUUUCGGAAUGUAAAGUGCUUUCAGUUGGGAAGAAAGAAAUGACGGUACCAACAGAAGAAGUGACGGCUAAAUACGUGCCAGCAGCCGCGGUAAGGA